rnacentral:miRNA from 1 species
CGCCUCGUCGGAUGGCACCGCCGGGGUUACGGGCUGCUCUGAGGCCGUGGCGUGUGGAGGCGGGGAGGGAGGGUGCUGC